rnacentral:lncRNA from 13 species
AUGGGGGCGUCCACGCCCCCUGCGGGGCCCCCUCUGGGUCCCCAGGGCCGCGACGCUCCCCGACGGCCGCCAGGAGCCGCUGUUCCGGCACGCUGGCCGCUCUCCAUUCAUAAAUCCAGCCAGCCCGGCUCUUCGCCUCUCUCUCCUCCCGCACUCAGCCCCUCCUUCACCCGGCUGGCCUGGGAAGACCCCUGCCGGGUGCCGGAGGGUUGCGGAUCACUGGAGACCCCUGGGGAGGGAGAGGGGACGUCUUCGUACUCCACUGAACGCCGGCAGGCCCGCUCCGUCCGCAGGACCUCCCUGCAACUCGGGGGCUGCGGAGUCUCCCGGGAGGCGGGGGAAGCGAGGGCACUCGGGGUUCCGCGGGAGCCUGCCUGGAGGAGAGCAGCGCCGGCCGGGGAGCCAGUCUCCCAGCACCCCGAUUAUCACCCGAGAAUCUUGGCUCCCCUCAUCCCUCGCCGCAGCCAAAGCCCUUUUCAAAGGCUCUGGAGAUGCACCAUUAGGCAUAGGAGGUGUGGAAGAGGAACUGGAGCAGCACAAGGAACUGGAGCGGGGCCGAUGACCUUCACCUCUGCAGAGCAGGAGGAUGGACUGAAGCUAAACCCAAGGCAGAACUUUGUCCUUGGGCAGAUACGGCAUCUACAUGGUAGGUGAUGUCCUGUCGGCCCUAGGUGCUGGCUGAGAUAGAAGAUGGAGUGAAGGGACUCAGAAGAGGGGCUGAAGUGUGUGUGUGCAUGUGUGUCUGCAUAUGUGUGCAUGUGUGUGUCUUUGUGUUUGAGUCUUGAAUUCAAGUAAGGGCUGUGGUGUGUGUCUAGGGAAUCCUAUGUGUGUGUGUGUGUGUGUGUGUGUCUGUGUGUGUGUGUGUCUGACUGUGCAUAUGAGCAGGGUAUGGGCUCUGGGUUAAUGACUGGCAUCACCCUGGGUGGGAUGUGUCUGUCUGGGUUUUGAUCUGUCCCUGUGCUUUGGCCUUUUUGUCUAUGAGGAACGUGUAUGUAUGAGGGGGUGUCUGUUUCUCAGUGUGGAUCUGAAUGCUCAACUGUGGCUUUGACUAGUGCUUGUGAGGGUGGACAUGCCUUUGUGUGCAAAGCUCUGUGAGUGUGCGUAUGUGGAACUUGGUAUAUCUGUUCUCACAGCAAUGACUCAUCUUACCCCCCUGAAUUCUCUCCCCAACCUGGAGCUGUGACUGUU